rnacentral:rRNA from 1 species
GAUGAACGCUGGCGGCGUGCCUAAUACAUGCGAGUCGAGCGAACAGAUGAGGAGCUUGCUCCUCUGACGUUAGCGGCGGACGGGUGAGUAACACGUGGAUAACCUACCUAUAAGACUGGGAUAACUUCGGGAAACCGGAGCUAAUACCGGAUAAUAUAUUGAACCGCAUGGUUCAAUAGUGAAAGACGGUUUUGCUGUCACUUAUAGAUGGAUCCGCGCCGCAUUAGCUAGUUGGUAAGGUAACGGCUUACCAAGGCAACGAUGCGUAGCCGACCUGAGAGGGUGAUCGGCCACACUGGAACUGAGACACGGUCCAGACUCCUACGGGAGGCAGCAGUAGGGAAUCUUCCGCAAUGGGCGAAAGCCUGACGGAGCAACGCCGCGUGAGUGAUGAAGGUCUUCGGAUCGUAAAACUCUGUUAUUAGGGAAGAACAAAUGUGUAAGUAACUAUGCACGCCUUGACGGUACCUAAUCAGAAAGCCACGGCUAACUACGUG